rnacentral:lncRNA from 1 species
UAGCCUUGACACUUGAAAUAUAGCACUAGUACUCACUUCGUAGCACCAAAGAUCUUUGAAAUUUCAUCUCGACUCGGAAGCUGAUAUAAGGGUUGUUAAGGAUUAUUUCUGAUGAGUGUCUCCUGCGUAUCCGACCGGGUUCGACGUUGCAUUAUGAGUUUAUUAUUAUUAAGGUUAUAUGCAUGAUAGGGUAAUGUCCAUUUAAUCUUAGGAUUAUAUAUGCUUCUUUACCAUAUUUAUUACUUAAUAUGAUACAUGUUCUGUUACUUUGCUGAUAUAUAUGAUUUAAUAUAUGUGUUAAUAUGAGCAGUAACUAUUACUGAUUAUUGAAUAAAUUAUGUAAUUGAUUGAUCACCUAGUUAGGGCUCGUAUGCUGGCGAUUGUGCUUAUUGCACUUCUAUUACGCGGUGGGCCUUGGUAAGCGCCACAACUAACUAUUGUCGUGGGCUUUAAUAAGCGCCACACUAACUCUAAGUGGGCCAUUUUAGUGCUACUAACUCUACGUGGAUCGUUAGCAUAUGUGAGCCGGAAUCCCAAAAUAAAAUAUGGAUAUGAAUUAGAUGAUAGAAUUAGCCUUAUGUGUAAUAUGCUAUAUGCUUUUUAUGUGAUUUUUUGUACUGUAGAGUGACCAGGAAAGAGAUCCUCACUCAGUGAUUAGCACUGACCCUUACUUUCCAUUUCAGAGCGACAGUAGGCUUUACUGGUUCACAUACUGCAAAUCUGCAAAAUGGUAUCAUUCAGCUCCGGGGUUGGCCGUCCUGGUGACGAUGCCAGGUAGAUAUCGAAGUUUUUGUCUUGAUCCUCAUUUUGUGUUUUAAAACUGGUUUGAAAACUCUUACUCUCAUCAUGUGCAUAUGUUAUGAGUGCUUGUGUACUAGUAUAAUGGGAUAUGGUUUUGUAAACUAUAGUGGCCAUAAGGGCAAGUAUAAGUUCUCCGGUCCGAGCCUAUGAAGCUCGUGACUCCUGUUCUAUAUGUAUAUGUGUCCUUCUGGACUUUUGGUAUGGUGUAUUGUACUGUGUAAAAUAAAUAAGUCAUAUAUGACAUUGUGAGCAAUUUUGUGUGGACUGAUGAA